rnacentral:misc_RNA from 1 species
CAGGAGUUGCAAAACUCCCUAACCAUUGUGAACCGUACCUGCUAACGUUGCUUCGGCGGGCGGGCCCUCCCCCCGGCCCCGCGGCCCGCCGGAGGAAUCCCAAACUCUUGUAUUAUUGGCCUCUCUGAGUAGUCUUACUAAUAAGUCA